rnacentral:rRNA from 1 species
ACGGGGUGGGCGAGCGUUGCCCGGAAUUACUGGGUUUAAAGGGGGUGUAGGCGGUCUGGAUAGUCGGGUGUGUAAUGCAAUCGCUCAACGAUUGAGCUGCAUCUGAUACUUCCAGGCUAGAGGGCGGUAGAGGAGAGCGGAACUCCCGGUGUAGCGGUGAAAUGCGUAGAUAUCGGGAGGAACGCCGGUGGCGAAGGCGGCUCUCUGGGCCGUUCCUGACGCUGAGGCCCGAAAGCUGGGGGAGCGAAAGG